AUACCUUUCCCAACGUUUCGGUUAAGAUCAAGUGUAAUAUCUAUUUUUAUCAAUUUAAUAUUUAAUACAUGGAUCAACAACUAAUAUGAUAUUAAAUUAAUUUAUUUAGAGGGAUUCUAUUACAAUAGCUUGCUAUUGGGAUUCUCAAAUGUCGUCCAUGUGUUGCAUUAUUACACAAGCUUGACACACCAUAU